CCCCGGGAUGCACCAGUGGGGAAUAUUGGACAAUGGGCGCAAGCCUGAUCCAGCCAUACCGCGUGGGUGAAGAAGGCCUUCGGGUUGUAAAGCCCUUUUGUUGGGAAAGAAAUCCAGCCGGCUAAUACCUGGUUGGGAUGACGGUACCCAAAGAAUAAGCACCGGCUAACUUCGUGCCAGCAGCCGCGGUAAUACGAAGGGUGCAAGCGUUACUCGGAAUUACUGGGCGUAAAGCGUGCGUAGGUGGUUAUUUAAGUCCGUUGUGAAAGCCCUGGGCUCAACCUGGGAACUGCAGUGGAUACUGGAUGACUAGAAUGUGGUAGAGGGUAGCGGAAUUCCUGGUGUAGCAGUGAAAUGCGUAGAGAUCAGGAGGAACAUCCAUGGCGAAGGCAGCUACCUGGACCAACAUUGACACUGAGGCACGAAAGCGUGGGGAGCAAA
rnacentral:rRNA from 1 species